rnacentral:ncRNA from 2 species
CCAGUCGAGGGGCGCUGCAGCAGGUCAACACCUGUCAGGCUCGACCGGGGCGUUUGUCUAGAACGCAUCAACGGCGCCCAUUCGCA